ACUCCUGCUCUCACACAUCGCUUUGCACACAGGCAGGGAUCUUACGCACGAAGGACUUUGCAUGAGAUGACACCAAACCAGGAUCUGGACAGCCUGCAAGCUUCACAUAGCACAUGAUCUGGAAUCCUAAAAACGGACAGAAACCACCUGAACCCAAAGCACAGGCUCAUUUCCAAAGUGAUUUACAUUGCAAAGCCGCAAUCUACUCAUCUUGGACUUGCGUAACCAACUAUGUCAAAGGAUGAGGAAAUUCCGAGCCCACCUCCAGAGUGGCCGGAAGAAAUCUUAAUGUAAACAUAUAUCGGAAAAGCCUGGAGGAGAAGUCAUCAUGAGAAGGAAUCUCUAGGACACUGGUAGAGUACUUAAUAACCAACCCACAGAAGACUCUCACCGUCGACUCAUUACAUGGAUAUACAGUGUGGAUGGACAGCUCACGCUAGCGCCUCCAUGAGGGAUUUGCCCUCCCCUCCUGUUGCCUGAGGUCAACCCAACACAACGCCACCUUGAUAAGUCUGGCUUAGCUGGCCACUUGAGUUUCAAUGCUCCACGCUGCUCUAAGAUGAGGGUAUGGAAAGAGGUCACCCUCGCCUUCAUCCUGUUUGGUGCCUCGUUUUUCCUCCUGCUUAUGAAAACCACAUCACCUGUUGGGUCUUCCUACCCAAAGGCCUUAGGGAUUUCAUCAGACCCUUCCUCACAGCCAGCAGCUACAGCACUUGAACCGCCACCAUCAUCCUCAUCUUCACUCUCAUCAACCUCAUCGAGGAAGCCAGUG